rnacentral:tRNA from 1 species
GGAUUGUGGCUCGGUGGUACAGCGCUUGCCUAGCACGUGUGAGGCCCUAGGUUCGAUCCUCAGCACCA